CGCGGCCUAUCAGCUUGUUGGUGGGGUAGUGGCCUACCAAGGCGACGACGGGUAGCCGGCCUGAGAGGGUGACCGGCCACACUGGGACUGAGACACGGCCCAGACUCCUACGGGAGGCAGCAGUGGGGAAUAUUGCGCAAUGGGCGGAAGCCUGACGCAGCGACGCCGCGUGGGGGAUGACGGCCUUCGGGUUGUAAACCUCUUUCAGCAGGGACGAAGCCGGAGGGUGACGGUACCUGCAGAAGAAGCACCGGCCAACUACGUGCCAGCAGCCGCGGUAAUACGUAGGGUGCAAGCGUUGUCCGGAAUUAUUGGGCGUAAAGAGCUCGUAGGCGGUUUGUUGCGUCGGCUGUGAAAUCCCGAGGCUCAACCUCGGGUCUGCAGUCGAUACGAGCAAACUAGAGUGUUGCAGGGGAGACUGGAAUUCCUGGUGUAGCGGUGAAAUGCGCAGAUAUCAGGAGGAACACCGGUGGCGAAGGCGGGUCUCUGGGCAACAACUGACGCUGAGGAGCGAAAGCGUGGGGAGCGAACAGGAUUAGAUACCCUGGUAGUCCACGCCGUAAACGUUGGGCGCUAGGUGUGGGGCUCAUUCCACGAGUUCCGUGCCGCAGCUAACGCAUUAAGCGCCCCGCCUGGGGAGUACGG
rnacentral:rRNA from 1 species